UCAAAUGGACAGCAAGCAAUAAUGAUACGUUCAGCUGAGAGGCUCAACUGGAUCGACAGCUGAGAAGACUUUUUUAGAAUUCACAAAAGUAAAGAAACUUCAAGAGUUACCUGAAGAAGUCACAAGAAGUUGCACUGUGAAUGACACGGACAAGCUAAUGGCCUAAGCAGCACUGAGACAAGUUCAGGACAUCUUGUGACACCCUACCAAAGAAGGAAAACUCAGUGGUGAAAUAUGAGACAACCUCCAGGCAUCUGGGGAACUUUCAUCCCAUCAGAUAAGGGAACUGUAACUCCCACAGAUACAAUUCUUGGCAUCGUAACUGCAGAAGACUGGAAGUGAUAUGAAAACCAAGGAUUAUCUCAGAGAUAAAUAAUGAUACACUGUUUCUACGUCAUUCAGUCACGCAGACUCCACUCUUCCUGGGGCCAGC
rnacentral:lncRNA from 1 species